UUAAAUGUUGCCAUGUUUUUAUUGAACACACCAUGUAAACAUUCACAGUGCAGGUGGAAAAAGUAUGUGAACCCUUAGAUUUAAUAACUGGUUGAACCUCCUUUGGCAGCAAUAACUUCAACCAAAUGUUUCCUGUAGUUGCAGAUCAGACGUGCACAACGGUCAGGAGUAAUUCUUGACCAUUCCUCUUUACAGAACUGUUUCAGUUCAGCAAUAUUCUUGGGAUGUCUGGUGUGAAUCGCUUUCUUGAGGUCAUGCCACAGCAUCUCAAUCGGGUUGAGGUCAGGACUCUGACUGGGCCACUUCAGAAGGCGUAUUUUCUUCUGUUUAAGCCAUUCUGUUGUUGAUUUACUCCUAUGCUUUGCGUCAUUGUCCUGUUGAUACAUCCAUCUUCUGUUGAGCUUCAGCUGGUAGACAGAUGGCCUUAAGUUCUCCUGCAAAAUGUCUUGAUAAACUUGGGAAUUCAUUUUUCCUUCGAUGAUGGCAAUCCGUCCAGGCCCGGAGGCAGCAAAGCAGCCUCAAAACCAUGAUGCUCCCACCACCAUACUUCACAGUUGGGAUGAGGUUUUGAUGUUGGUGUGCUUUGCCUUUUUUUUGCCACACAUAGUGUUGUGUGUUUCUUCCAAACAACUCAACUUUGGUUUCAUCUGGUCACAGAAUAUUUUGCCAGUACUGAUGUGGAACAUCCAGGUGCUCUUGUGCAAACUGUAAAUGUGCAGCAAUGUUUUGUUUGGACAGCAGUGGCUUCCUCUGUGGUAUCCUCCCAUGAAAUCCAUUCUUGUUUAGUGUUUUAUGUACUGUAGAUUCGCUAACAGGGGUUGCAUAAUCCCUUUUCAUGCAUGGUGUGUGAUUUUGAACAAUUUACAUGUUUCUACAUCUUCCUACGCAAAAGAUCUGGGCUUUUAG